rnacentral:pre_miRNA from 1 species
AAUUCAGUUGCUGGGUAAUAGAGUAAGUGUGUACUUUAACUUUAUAAGAAAGUGCCAAACUGUUUUUGAAAGGAGUUGUGCCAUUUUUCAUUCUCACUAGAAAU